AUUUUUUUAAAUAUAUAACAAACCCUCCUUUCCAAACUCUUCCAUAGUUCCAUUUGCUGAAACCCUCCUUGCCUCCUCCUCCUGUUCUUCUCUCUCUUCCAUUCGCUCCUCUCUUCUCUCUCUUCCAUUCACGCUCCUCUCUUCUCUUUCUUCCUCCAUUCACGCUCCUCUCUUCUAUUCUAUCGGGACCAUGUUCGAGCUUUAUACAUGGUAAAUUCGGUUUUAAUGGUCAAAUUUGAUCAUGAAAAUUCUAGAUCUAGAGUUUUCACAGUUAAAUUUUACCAAAUAAAACUCAUAAUUGAUGUUUAUAAGAGGGUAGGUAAUAAAGGGAAGUUCAAGAUUAAAUCUACCUUGCAACUAAUCUGAAAUGAAGAGGAGAGUACAGAUGAUGGGUCUUGGGAUUUAGUUUGGACUCUUUGGAGGCUUCGAGUACAGCAGCGAAUUAGAGUUUUUCUGUGGCUUGUCAUGCAUGAUAAGAUCAUGUGUAAUGCAAAUAGAUACAAGAGAAAUCUGACAAAGGACCCAUGUUGUAAGCACUGUCCACAUAUUGAAGAAAAUACCCUUCAUGUGCUUCGUGACUGUGUUGCUGCAAGGGAGGUGUGGUAGCAGGUGGGUGGGCCUGCAAAUGCUCGUGAUUUUCGUGCAGGAUCUCUUCAACAAUGGCUAAUUAGGAAUAUAAAGGUGCAAGCUCACAAUGACAUGUCUCCGGAAAUUUGGCCUACUUAUUUCUCAAUUGUUAUUUGGUGGAUUUGGAAGAGGCGUAAUGCUGUGACUUUCAAUCGAAAUAUAUAGUGAAAUACCAGUAGAUGUGAAGCAGUUCUUGUUGGAUAGGUUUGAGGAAGUUUGGAGGGUGUUGGGUGAUGAUACUAUAAGUUCUUCCCAACUGCCAGUGGCUCGUAGGGAAGCUUUCAUUAAGUGGAUGGCUCCUCAUGUUGGGUGGCAUUCCUUGAAUUUGGAUGGGGCUGCCAAAGGUGCUCCUGGACUUGUAAGAGGAGGGGGUUUAAUCAGAGAUGCCACUGGAAAGUUUAGCCAUGCAUACUCUUUAAAACUUGGACAUUGUCACGUUUUCAAAGCUGAAGUGCUAGCAGUGGAGUACGGCUUAGAGCUAGCACAAAGGAUGGGCAUCACGAAGUUGCAAGUUCAGUUAGAUAACAAGGCAGCAGUUGACAUUCUUAAUAGCAGCCAAAGUUAUGGUGGAGAACGUGUUCACCACAUUGCAAACUGUCAAAAAAUUAUUGCUAGUCCUAAUUGGCAAAUUGAGGUCAAACAUAUAUUUAGAGAAGGAAACAAAGCUGCAGACUAGCUUGCCAACCAAGGAGUAACUCAGAACGACCGCAUUGAGUUGAUUCAAGUCCCCCCCGCGCUUUAGGUCGUAUUUUACAUAAUGAUGUAGUAGGUGUGGCUUUGUCACGGUUUGUUCCUCCGUUGUUUUUUAUUUCUUGUUUUUUCUUGGGGCUCUGCCCCUCGUGUGCACCAAAAAAAAAAAAAACCUCACAUAUGCAUUGAAAAAUUAAUUCAGACUCAACUAAAUCUAAGUAAAUCGAAAGGUCGAAGACUAUAGAUUACAAUUUUAAGAAAAAUAAAAAAAAAAUUAAUAUGUUUGGACUGUUA